AGCAAGAGAAUCGCGUCGGAAGUAGCGCGCACAAUUCGUAUAAUGAUGCACUAUAAAAUGCGCACUACUUCCGACGUGACGAUUGUCGUUGGUUGGAAUUUCCAGUUUUUAACUGUAACGAUAAUAUCGCCUUGUAAACUGAGUUGAGCACCCCUGUUUUGUAAGAAACCGUGAAAUUUUUUUGAAAAGUUUGCCAAUUAUCAUUAAAUAAUGCAAAUGCUAAUAGCAGUAAUUUCUACAAUCCCAUGUCUAUAUACUACCGAAUAUCUUUCAACGCGAUGCGAAUUGGUAAUAUUGCUUUGCAGAAAUAAAUGUGUGUGCCGUAUGACAUCUUCGAACCGUAAAAUCUUCAUAUAUCAAUUUAUUGGUUAUCUUCAUUUUAGUUUUAUUUAGUUUCAAUAUCUCAUACUUAAGGUAGAUCGCAAAAAAUCUCAAAGAUAAUAGGCGAUGGUGCAAAGUCCAAUAGAAAUAAUAUCUAUGUACAUAUAUUGAUUCACAAUCAGUUAUCACACAUUUUUAUUUUCCGUUUGGAAAAAAAAUCUGACGUAACUAUUUUUGAUAUAUACCUACCAUGGAACAGGCCGAAUCAUGCAGUUAUGAUUUGCGGCAAAACUCAUUUUUCAACAAUCUGCAAGCGAGGACUCCAUGUAUCUCCUCCUGUGACCAUGACAUGCAAUUCCAUUGCUUCUAUUGAACGCUAUUUCACCAAGUGUAUUGCCUACCCAACCCAGUGGAAGAAACGAGGCGUCCAUCAAUAUUUGCAUUACUUCAGCCGUCGUCACUGAACCAGGCAGGUGUCACCAGAAGACAAUAAAGAAUUCAGCGGGUCACAGUAAAUCAACUUGUUACAGCCCGCUCUAGCACAGCCUCUUUCUUGGCGCCUGUCAAUGUUGCAAACCUAGGACACAAUACCCAUAAAGAUCCUCGUACCCCUGGAUACGAUAGAGAUUAGCGUCAGGGUGUCGUGCCUCGACAAUGACUGCCAAUUUGUAUCUGUUCGCUGCAUUGGAUAACGAGUACGCACUGCUCCACGUGAAAAGGAGGGGUCAUAAGAGCAUCAAUAUGAGGCACAACGUCCGAUAGUGUUACAGCAUCAUCUAGUUCGAGACUAAGUGACGCACUCGUGUAGUUUCGGAUAUUAUGACGAAUAUGAUCUGAGACGUCUUGACGCAGCUCUUAUGUGCCAUAAUAUAAGGAAUCUUGUAAGGAAAACUGUCAACUGGAACAGAAUGCUCUAGCCCUGACGGAGAGAAUCAUGGAUUGCAUUAUGUAGCGAACGAGUUAUUGUUAUUCGGACAACUUUGAAACUUCAAAUUGAACCUAAUGGUUCGUCAACGGAGGAACAUGCCGUUGAUUCCUUUACAGCUAUUCGUUUCAAGUCUAAUUUUCAGUUCAACGGAUUUGAACGUCGAUUAUGCUCGGAUGUGUGAAGUUUGCCGACAGAGCUAGUAUGAUCAGUUGCAGUUCAUGGAGGCCGAAGACGAUGCAUCUGGACUUUCCUCCGAUUUGCAACAUGCACAAGAAGUGGUUUUGCAACGGCCGCGAUAGCACAACCUGAUCCCGUAAAUCCCCUGGUCUGGACGAAGCACAACGAAGUUAUCCUGCAGGGCGAUGAACCACGCGAAUAGAUCGUGCUACUCGUUCUUAGCUUGAGGUUCAUCCCUGCCAAAGUAGAUUUCGUUGGUGUUUUUAAGUCCAGACAAUCGUGUGCAUCACAGAAAUUCAUCAAUGAUAUGAAUUGGACCCAGUAGUGGAGACCUCUCAUUGCUAGUUGGUUAACAUUCUCACUUAACAAGAACCACAGCGAGCCCGAAAGGUUUUAGUUUCCAUGACAUGGAGAAACGCGUUGAUAAAAAGCCAUUUUUUCAUAAAACAGACAAAUCGACAUCAUUUUGAAUUUUAGUUCGCGCUUUAUGAAAUCUUCGGAAGCUUUUUCGGCAAUUCAGAAGCCCCUCUUGGUUAUGUUCAGUUCUUGGGAGCGAGCCCAAGCAGCAACUAACAACAUGCCUGCCCUGGUCGGAAUGUCCAUGAACAUGCGAAUUUACCACCGCGCCUAAUUUAGCAGUAACAGGCGGUGUAGAGGACAAGCAAAUCAGCCGAAUCACACCCGUGGUGCAACCGGCACCAAAUCGAUACAACAGCCACCCGAGAUUCCGUCUCGCAGCCGCCUUCGUAACGGUUAAUUUCCGAAACCGAUGUUAAAACGCUCAAAUAUUUUAUAUGAAUCUAAUAAAUGAUUCGA